AACGCUAGCUACAGGCUUAACACAUGCAAGUCGAGGGGCAGCAUCAUCAAAGCUUGCUUUGAUGGAUGGCGACCGGCGCACGGGUGAGUAACACGUAUCCAACCUGCCGACAACACUGGGAUAGCCUUUCGAAAGAAAGAUUAAUACCGGAUGGCAUAGUUUUCCCGCAUGGGAUAAUUAUUAAAGAAUUUCGGUUGUCGAUGGGGAUGCGUUCCAUUAGGCAGUUGGCGGGGUAACGGCCCACCAAACCUACGAUGGAUAGGGGUUCUGAGAGGAAGGUCCCCCACAUUGGAACUGAGACACGGUCCAAACUCCUACGGGAGGCAGCAGUGAGGAAUAUUGGUCAAUGGACGAGAGUCUGAACCAGCCAAGUAGCGUGAAGGAUGACUGCCCUAUGGGUUGUAAACUUCUUUUAUACGGGAAUAAAGUUAGCCACGUGUGGUUUUUUGUAUGUACCGUAUGAAUAAGGAUCGGCUAACUCCGUGCCAGCAGCCGCGGUAAUACGGAGGAUCCGAGCGUUAUCCGGAUUUAUUGGGUUUAAAGGGAGCGUAGGCGGGUUGUUAAGUCAGUUGUGAAAGUUUGCGGCUCAACCGUAAAAUUGCAGUUGAUACUGGAUAUCUUGAGUGCAGUUGAGGCAGGCGGAAUUCGUGGUGUAGCGGUGAAAUGCUUAGAUAUCACGAAGAACUCCGAUUG
rnacentral:rRNA from 1 species